rnacentral:rRNA from 1 species
AGUGAGGGCGCUAACAUGCAAGUCGAGCGAGAUCUUCGGAUCUAGCGGCGGACGGGUGAGUAACGCGUGGGAACGUACCCUCUUCUGCGGGAUAGCCACUGGAAACGGUGAGUAAUACCGCAUACGCCCUUCGGGGGAAAGAUUUAUCGGAGGAGGAUCGGCCCGCGUUGGAUUAGGUAGUUGGUGGGGUAAUGGCCUACCAAGCCUACGAUCCAUAGCUGGUUUUAGAGGAUGAUCAGCCACACUGGGACUGAGACACGGCCCAGACUCCUACGGGAGGCAGCAGUGGGGAAUCUUAGACAAUGGGCGCAAGCCUGAUCUAGCCAUGCCGCGUGAGUGACGAAGGCCUUAGGGUCGUAAAGCUCUUUCGCCUGUGAUGAUAAUGACAGUAGCAGGUAAAGAAACCCCGGCUAACUCCGUGCCAGCAGCCGCGGUAAUACGGAGGGGGUUAGCGUUGUUCGGAAUUACUGGGCGUAAAGCGCACGUAGGCGGAUUGGAAAGUAUGGGGUGAAAUCCCAGGGCUCAACCCUGGAACGGCCUCAUAAACUUCCAGUCUGGAGUUCGAGAGAGGUGAGUGGAAUUCCGAGUGUAGAGGUGAAAUUCGUAGAUAUUCGGAGGAACACCAGUGGCGAAGGCGGCUCACUGGCUCGAUACUGACGCUGAGGUGCGAAAGUGUGGGGAGCAAACAGGAUUAGAUACCCUGGU